rnacentral:rRNA from 1 species
UACGUAGGGGGCAAGCGUUGUCCGGAAUCAUUGGGCGUAAAGCGCGUGUAGGCGGCCCGGUAAGUCCGCUGUGAAAGUCGGGGGCUCAACCCUCGAAUGCCGGUGGAUACUGUCGGGCUAGAGUACGGAAGAGGCGAGUGGAAUUCCUGGUGUAGCGGUGAAAUGCGCAGAUAUCAGGAGGAACACCAGCGGCGAAGGCGGCGCUCUGGGCCGGUACUGACGCUGAGGAGCGAAAGCGUGGGGAGCAAACAGG